GGGGAAUAUUGCACAAUGGGCGAAAGCCUGAUGCAGCAACGCCGCGUGAGUGAUGAAGGUCUUCGGAUUGUAAAGCUCUGUCUUUUGGGACGAUAAUGACGGUACCAAAGGAGGAAGCCACGGCUAACUACGUGCCAGCAGCCGCGGUAAUACGUAGGUGGCGAGCGUUGUCCGGAUUUACUGGGCGUAAAGGGUGCGUAGGCGGAUGUUUAAGUGAGAUGUGAAAUACCCGGGCUUAACUUGGGUGCUGCAUUUCAAACUGGAUAUCUAGAGUGCAGGAGAGGAGAAUGGGAUUCCUAGUGUAGCGGUGAAAUGCGUAGAGAUUAGGAAGAACACCAGUGGCGAAGGCGAUUCUCUGGACUGUAACUGACGCUGAGGCACGAAAGCGUGGGGUAGCAAACAGGAUUAGA
rnacentral:rRNA from 1 species